GAUGAAGAACGUAGCGAAAUGCGAUAAGUAGUGUGAAUUGCAGAAUUCAGUGAAUCAUCGAAUCUUUGAACGCACAUUGCGCCCGCCAGUAUUCUGGCGGGCAUGCCUGUCCGAGCGUCAUUUCAACCCUCGAACCCCUCCGGGGGGUCGGCGUUGGGGAUCGGCCCUGCCUCUGGCGGUGGCCGUCUCCGAAAUACAGUGGCGGUCUCGCCGCAGCCUCUCCUGCGCAGUAGUUUGCACACUCGCAUCGGGAGCGCGGCGCGUCCACAGCCGUUAAACACCCAACUUCUGAAAUGUUGACCUCGGAUCAGGUAGGAAUACCCGCUGAACUUAAGCAUAUCAAUAAGCGGAGGA
rnacentral:misc_RNA from 1 species